GGUGACGUUGAACUACGUAGCUGUACACACAGCGAAAAAAAGUUGUGUUUCCAACAUUUUUUUAAUUUUAUUUCAAAAGCUUGCAAAAUUUGGUAUUUAUAACAGCUAAAACUUUUCAGUCAAAUGCAAAAUUGAUUGAUUUGAAAGUUUUUUCUUAGUUUGAAGUUGUGAUUUUUACAGUGUAACUUCUUAGAACAAAAUUUGUAAAAUAUUCAAACAAACUAGAAUAUUUUACGUUUUUGGUAACACUGGGAGGAAAAAAUAAUAUAACUGGCAGCUCAUGGCUAUUCGUCACUGACAGUUGCAAAAAAAGCAGUCCAAAGCGCGCCUAAAAACUUUUCUCUUUUUUCAAACAGCACUUCACUGAUCCCUGAGACACUGAUCCGGCAAAACAAACUGCUGAAACCGAAAAACAAUCCAGGAGUAUGUUACCAAGUCGAAGCGAUUAUGCAGCAGAGAAAAUGAUGGAGGGCGGAAUAGGCGCAAAUAAUCCGCAAGCUACGAAUGGGUUACCGGCGGUUGAUUGCAGUCACCCCUGGAGGAGCAGUUCUUCGAUGCGUGUAAGAGGGAGUUUGAGGAAAGCUUGAUCAAUGCCACCGACACAUGCUGAAAAACUUGUGGCCUCUUUUGGAAGUAAAUUAAACUUGGUGUUCACCGUUCGGGACAGUUCGGCCCAGCAGAAGGACCCUCAUAUGGAUGCUCUUUCGGAUCUUUUCGCAAAUGAAGGAAACUUGGUGUUGAUGGUUCGGGACAGUCCGGCCCAGCGGAAAGACCCACAGGCAUGCUAUUCCGGAUCACACGUCCUGCUUGACAAGCUGUCGCCGAGAUUUUCUUUGAGUCUUAGCCCGCAUCAUCCAACAUAAUGCAUCAAACUGGUCCGGGAAGGGUUGAUCUAAAACGUUAUAAUGUUAUGUUAUGUUAAAUAUUAUAAGGUCAAUAAAUACUUUUAAGGGAAUGGACGUUUCUUGCGUUUCUAAA